rnacentral:rRNA from 1 species
AUACGGAGGAUCCGAGCGUUAUCCGGAUUUAUUGGGUUUAAAGGGUGCGCAGGCGGCCAUUUAAGUCAGCGGUUAAAUCGUGGGGCUCAACCCCAUUCUGCCGUUGAUACUGGGUGGCUUGAUUGCGGUCGAGGUUGGCGGAAUUCGUUGUGUAGCGGUGAAAUGCAUAGAUAUGACGAAGAACACCGAUUGUGUAGGCAGCUGACCAGAUCGCAAAUGACGCUCAUGCACGAAAGUGCGGGGAUCGAACAGGAUUAGAUACCCUGGUAGUCCGCACAGUAAACGAUGAAUACUUGUUUUCGGCGAUAUAAUGUCGGAGGCAAAGCGAAAGCGAUAAGUAUUCCACCUGGGGAGUACGCCGGCAACGGUGAAACUCAAAUGAAUUGACGGG